rnacentral:rRNA from 1 species
GAGCUAAUACAUGCCAACACGCUCGACUUCUGGAAGGGAUGUAUUUAUUAGAUUAAAAACCAAUGCGGAUCCUCGUGGUCCGUCUACUUGGUGAUUCAUGAUAACUUUUCGAAUCGCAUGGCCUAGCGCCGGCGAUGUUUCAUUCAAAUUUCUGCCCUAUCAACUGUCGAUGGUAAGGUAGUGGCUUACCAUGGUUGUAACGGGUGACGGAGAAUUAGGGUUCGAUUCCGGAGAGGGAGCCUGAGAAACGGCUACCACAUCUAAGGAAGGCAGCAGGCACGAAAAUUACCCAAUCCCGACUCGGGGAGGUAGUGACAAGAAAUAACGAUACGGGGUCUUAAUAGGUCUCGCAAUUGGAAUGAGUACAAUUUAAAUCCUUUAACGAGGAUCAAUUGGAGGGCAAGUCUGGUGCCAGCAGCCGCGGUAAUUCCAGCUCCAAUAGCGUAUAUUAAAGUUGUUGCAGUUAAAAAGCUCGUAGUUGGAUUUCGGGACGGGCCAGUUGGUCCGCCGCAAGGUGUGUUACUGACUGGUCUGUUCUUCUUCGCAAAGACUUCGUAUGCUCUUCGUUGAGUGUGCGUAGGAUUUACGACGUUUACUUUGAAAAAAUUAGAGUGUUCAAAGCAGGCUAUCGCUUGAAUACAUGAGCAUGGAAUAAUGGAAUAGGACUUUGGUCCUAUUUUGUUGGUUUCUAGGACCGAAGUAAUGAUUAAGAGGGACAGUUGGGGGCAUCCGUAUUUCGUUGUCAGAGGUGAAAUUCUUGGAUUUACGAAAGACAGACUACA